GACGAACGCUGGCGGCGUGCUUAACACAUGCAAGUCGAACGGAAAGGCCUCUUUCGGGGGGUACUCGAGUGGCGAACGGGUGAGUAACACGUGAGUAACCUGCCCUUGACUUUGGGAUAACUUCAGGAAACUGGGGCUAAUACCGGAUAGGAGCUCCUGCUGCAUGGUGGGGGUGGGAAAGUUUCGGCGGUUGGGGGGGGACUCGCGGCUGUUCACCUUUUGGGGGGGGUAUGGGCUUACCAAGGCUUGGACGUGUGCCCGCACGGAGGGGGUGACAGGCACGAUUGAGAUUGAGAAUCGGCCCGAGCGCCUACUGGAGGCAGCUGUGUGGAAUAUUGCACAAUGGGUGGUAGGCGGAUGCAGCAACGCCGUGUGUGGGAAGGCGGCCUUCGGGGUGUAUAACACUUUCGGUCAUGAAGAAGCUUUGUGUGACGGUAGUGGGUAAAGAAGCACCGGCUAACUACGUG
rnacentral:rRNA from 1 species